rnacentral:lncRNA from 10 species
UUCGCUGUCCCUGUUCCUGUUCCUGGAGCACUGUUCCUGCUGCCCUUUGCCCAGCCAUUGCCUUGCAUCCCUCAUUGGGAGGCCUUUGGUGGCCAUGUGCCCUCUCUCUCCGGCCUCCGUUGUUUCCCUCCCAGAAUCUGCCACCAUUGAUAAUGAUCUUCUGAACCUGCCUCUUUACAGCGUUCCCUAAGGACAGAAUGCAAGCUUCUUGCAGCCAGUGAAGCCCACGAACGUAUCCUCAGGGCCCAGCACAAGGACGGGCACACAGGGACCCCGACCGCGACUUGCUGAAAGGUACUCAUGCUGAGGGAAGCCAGCUUCCAUGUUGUAAGGAUGCUGAAGCAGCACUGUGGAGAUCCAUGUGGCAAGGAGCUGAGGCCUCUGCCAGCAGCCAGCGCCAGUCUGCCAGCGAGAUGAGCAAGCCGUCUUGCAGGCAAUUCAACGAAUUGUUAUCUCUGGACCACUGGGCUCACAUCGUGAACAGCUGCUCCACCCUCUGUCUUUCACCAGCAAGUUUUUCUGGUAACA